rnacentral:rRNA from 1 species
AGUGAACGCUGGCGGUAUGCCUAACACAUGCAAGUCGAACGGCAGCACAGUAAGAGCUUGCUCUUACGGGUGGCGAGUUGCGGACUGGUGAGGAAUACAUCGGAAUCUACUUUUUCGUGGGGGAUAACGUAGGGAAACUUACGCUAAUACCUCAUACUACCUACGGGUGAAAGCAAGGGAUCUUCGGACCUUGCGCGAUUGUAUGAGCCGAUGUCGGAUUAGCUAGUUGGCGGGGUAAAGGCCCACCAAGGCGACGAUCCGUAGCUGGUCUGAGAGGAUGAUCAGCCACACUGGAACUGAGACACGGUCCAGACUCCUACGGGAGGCAGCAGUGGGGAAUAUUGGACAAUGGGCGCAAGCCUGAUCCAGCCAUGCCGCGUGGGUGAAGAAGGCCUUCGGGUUGUAAAGCCCUUUUGUUGGGAAAGAAAAGCAGCAGGUUAAUACCCCGCUGUUCUGACGGUACCCAAAGAAUAAGCACCGGCUAACUUCGUG